rnacentral:miRNA from 13 species
UAUUAGUUUGGUGGAAAAGUAAUUGCGGUUUUUGCCAUUACUUUCAAUGGCAAAAACUGCAAUUACUUUU